UAGGGAAUCUUCCGCAAUGGGCGAAAGCCUGACGGAGCAACGCCGCGUGAGUGAUGAAGGUCUUCGGAUCGUAAAACUCUGUUCUUAGGGAAUAACAAAUGUGUAAGUAACUAUGCACGUCUUGACGGUACCUAAUCAGAAAGCCACGGCUAACUACGUUCCAGCAGCCGCGGUAAUACGUAGGUGGCAAGCGUUUUCCGGAAUUCUUGGCCGUAACGCGCGCGUAGGCGGUUUUUUAAGUCUGAUGUGAAAGCCAACGGCUCAACCGAGGAGGGUAAUUGGAAACUGGAAAACUUGAGUGCAGAAGAGGAAAGUGGAAUUCCAUGUGUAGCGGUGAAAUGCGCAGAGAUAUGGAGGAACACCAGUGGCGAAGGCGACUUUCUGGUCUGUAACUGACGCUGAUGUGCGAAAGCGUGGGGAUCAAACAGG
rnacentral:rRNA from 1 species